rnacentral:rRNA from 1 species
UACAGAGGCCCCAAGCGUUACUGAGAAUCACUGGGUUUAAAGGGUGCGUAGGUGGCGCGUUAAGUCCGUUGUGAAAUCCCUGGGCUCAACCCAGGAAUUGCUUCGGAUACUGGCGUGCUUGAGGCCGGUAGGGGUCACUGGAACUGACGGUGGAGCGGUGAAAUGCGUAGAUAUCGUCAGGAACGCCGAUGGUGAGGACAGGUGACUGGGCCGGAACUGACACUGAGGCACGAAAGCGUGGGGAGCGAACGGG